UGGGGCGGAGCACGAAGGGGGCGGAGCCGGAGGACGUCUGAAGCGCGCAGUUCUAGUCACCUUACGUGAUGAAUUUGUCGUUCCUUAUUUAAUUUUUUUUUUCCAUAUUCAAGUUAUGUUUUUUCCUGUCGUUCUUUAAUUUAAAAAUCAGCUCCUGGGGUGCCUGGCUGCUCAAUCGGUGGAGCGUCCCACUUGAUAUCGGGGUCGUGAGUUAAGGCCCCACAUUGGGCGUAAAGCUUACUUAAAAAAAUAUAUAUAUUAUAAAUAAAAAUCAGCGCCAUUGUGCCCACUGAGCCCUGGCCUAGCCGAGUUUCCAGUUCGGUGGAGCUGACUCCUUACUGAGACCUUUUCUUUCAUCUAUGGACUCAGGCUGUUGGGAGCCCAAGGAAGGGUGUUGCAGACUCUGCCUGUGGAAAGGUUUCCUAGGAGAAGUCAUUGCUUAACACCUUUGAGCCUGAAGUUUCUCAUCUGGAAAAUGGCAGUGAUCGAACCAAUCUCAGGGAAGGAUUUAAAGAUACCUGCUGCUGUCGGGCUCUCUGCUGCUGGUGCGGAGCCUGCUUUGGAUCCUCUGUCCCCCUGUCCCUGCCCCUCUGUAUCAAAAAUAAAUAAACAUUAAAAAAAGGGAUACCUUCUGCUGAUGCAGCAUAUUGAA